GAUGAACGCUGGCGGCGUGCCUAAUACAUGCAAGUCGAGCGAACAGACGAGGAGCUUGCUCCUCUGACGUUAGCGGCGGACGGGUGAGUAACACGUGGAUAACCUACCUAUAAGACUGGGAUAACUUCGGGAAACCGGAGCUAAUACCGGAUAAUAUAUUGAACCGCAUGGUUCAAUAGUGAAAGACGGUUUUGCUGUCACUUAUAGAUGGAUCCGCGCCGCAUUAGCUAGUUGGUAAGGUAACGGCUUACCAAGGCAACGAUGCGUAGCCGACCUGAGAGGGUGACCGGCCCACCUGGACUUGAGCCACGGCCCAGACCCCCAGGGGGGGAAGCAGGAGGGAAUCUUCCGAAAUGGGGGAAACCCUGACGGAGAAACGCCGGGGGGGUGAUGAAGGUUUCCGGAUUGUAAAACUUUUUUAUUGGGGAAAAACAAAUGUGUAAGUAACUAUGCCCGUCUUGACGGUACCUAAUAAGAAAGCCACGGCUAACUACGG
rnacentral:rRNA from 1 species